rnacentral:lncRNA from 1 species
GGAGCUAUUGUUACAGGCAGUUCUUAAAGCAUUCACAUCGGCAUGCCAAGCUCCGGCACCAAGCCAGGUGCUGAUCCCAAAAGGUGACUUCAAGCUUGGUGAGACCGUGAUGACUGGUCCAUGCAAAUCUCCAAUCGAGUUCACCUUGCAAGGCAACGUGAAAGCUGACGGUGGCUCUACCCAGGGAAAGGAUAGAUGGGUUGUGUUCGAAAAAAUUAAUGGUUUUAAGUUGAACGGAGGUGGAACAUUUGACGGUGAAGGCAAUGCAGCUUGGAAAGCCAAUAACUGCCACAAGACUUUUGAGUGCAAGAAACUUCCCAUCGUAUGUGUUUAUGUCUUUAAUAUAUUAACACCAAUGGCUUUUUUAAAGAUGAUAUAAUUCAGUGAUGCAUGCUAUCUUUCAGAGUGUAAGGUUUGAUUUUGUGGAUAACGCUGAGAUAAAAGACAUAACCUCAUUAGAUGCCAAAAACUUCCACUUCAACGUUAUCAGCGGCAAGAACAUGACCUUUGAUAACAUCAAGAUCAUCGCUCCAGCUGAAAGCCCCAACACUGACGGUAUCCAUUUGGGAAGAUGUGAGGGAGUCAAGAUCCUCAACACUAAGAUCGCCACAGGAGAUGACUGCAUCUCCGUGGGAGAUGGGAUGAAGAAUCUCCUCAUUGAGAAAGUUGUGUGCGGUCCAGGACACGGAAUCAGUGUUGGAAGCCUUGGAAGGUACGGAUGGGAGCAAGAUGUCACUGACAUUAACGUUAAGAACUGUACCCUCGAGGGAACCGACAACGGUCUGAGGAUCAAGACAUGGCCAUCUGCCGCUUGCACCACCACCGCUGCCGGUAUUCAUUUUGAGGAUAUCAUCCUUAACAAAGUUAGCAACCCAAUCCUCAUCGACCAGGAGUACUGCCCUUGGAACCAAUGCAACAAGAACGUAAGUAUCUUUUAUUAGAUUCUAUGUCUUGCCACUAUCACCGUAUUCUAUGAAAUUGGAUGGCUCAGCAAACAUAUUAUUCUGAUGGUUUUCUAGAUAUUUAGCAUUCACCAUUUUGGUUGAGGUUACAUAUAUAUGAUUAUGAUCCCAAAGUUUUUUUUCUAUUUGCAGAAACCAUCAACAAUUAAGCUGGUGGACAUUACCUUCAGGAAUAUUAGAGGAACAUCAGGGAACAAGGACGCAGUAAAACUAUUGUGCAGCAAGGGACAUCCAUGUGAGAACGUUGAGAUUGGAGACAUUAACAUUGAGUACACAGGACCUGACGGUCCACCCACUUUCGAGUGCACAAACGUCACACCUAAGCUUGUGGGAACCCAGAACCCAAAGGCUUGCGUUGGACCUGUGGUCAAGGCUCCUGGCAAAGAGUAAAAUGUUGAAGCUCAUAUCAACACACUAGGGCUUCCACAUCCAAUUUUGUUUAUUCUUUUUCUAAUCCUUUUUCAAGUCACGUAAGGGAGACUUUUACAAAGCUGUAACAAAAAAAUGUUUCUAUCCGAUGCCAACACAUAUAUAGAUGUGUGAGUGCAUAAUGAUGUAAUUAAUAAAACUAAAUUAUAUAUUCUGCGUAUGAUUGUUUCUUUUUAAAAUAUUAAUAUGCGCGGUAAGUUGUAUACACUUCAAUCUUAAUUUUGUUUUCUUUUCCGAAUCUUAAAAUUAUUUAACAAGAUCUGAUUUCAACCUUAAGAUUAAUUUAACUAAUACAGUAUUAGUUUUUUUUUUUUGAGAACUCAUUUUAAACUAGAACUCAAAUCAUUUCAAUAAUAGUUCACUAACAUGUAGUAUUCUUUCCAAGUUAUACUGAACUAGAACUCAAAGAUACACUUGUUCAUACAUAACCGAUGCAAGCAUUUGGACAACGAAACAUGACAUCGUCAUAAGUAAUCUGAUUGGAAAUGUAAUUUUCAAUCAAACUUUCGCUCUUUGCUUAUGAUCUCUUUGGAAAAAAUUUCACUUGAUAAUAUGAGGUGCAUACUCUUCCUCUCUACUUUGGUUCAAUGCUCCUUAAACAUGUUGGAUACUUUUUUAGGCUUCAAUAUAAAAAAGAAGUUAGGAAAAAUUUAUUGAUAUUGUUAGUAAUAUUACUUCUAUGAUAUUGGUACUUCAAAAGAAGCAUGAGUUAUUAUAGAAACUAGGUUAAGAUCUCUGUUUUGCGCAUGAUGAAUUUUAUGUAUACAAAUGAUAUUUUUCUAUUUUUAUUAUUUAUUUUGUGUUUAUUUAUUUCAUAUUUAUAUAAUUAAAUUAGAGUAAACACAUAAAUCAAAACUAUACCUCCUUUUAUUUCUAAUUUUUUUCAUAAAUAAAUCAAUCGUUUUAUUUAUUUUAUAUGAAAUAUAAUUAAUUUGAAUGAUAAUGACAUAGAUAUCUAGUAAAAUUUAAUAUAACUUAUUAAUUGAGAUUUCCUACUCAUAUAAUCUUAUUAACAUUUGUAUAUAUUGCUGUAAAAAAAAUUAAACCAUUAAUUACAAAACUUUCAAUGUGAGAUUUAUUUCAAUACAAAAUUUUAAAUUGAAAUAUUAAGGUCUCAAUACUUUUAAAAUGUAAAUUUCAAAAUUAACGUAUUUAUGUAUUUUUAUAUGGUAUAUAGUUUAAUUUAAACGAUAUUAAGAUAUAUAUAUAUAUAUAUAUUUAAUAUGAAUAUCUAUUAAAUGAGACUUUAUAUUCAUACAAUUUUAUGAUCAUUUUGUAUCUUGUUAUAACAAAAAAAAGUAGUUAAACCAUUGAUUACAAAAUUUCAAUAUGGGCUUUUAACAUUUUUUAGUAAUUUAUAGUUUUUUAAAAUUCAUAAUAUAACAUAUAAGAAAGAGUCUAUAUUUUAAGUAUAUGGUUAAUGUGAUUGUAUAAUUUCUUUUAAUAAUAUAAAAUUAAAUAAAAUAGAUGGAGGUUACAAAAAUUGUUAUCAAAUCUUUAUUAUUCAUAAUCAUUAGUUUUCGUAUAUAUGUUAAUCAUAUUAGGUAAUUUCGUAACUUUUAUUUAGAGAAAUAAUGAAAAUAUUCUUUUGAACAUACAUUACUAAUCAAUUUGAUAGUUAGUUUAAUAAUAAGAUAUAAUAUAUGUUUCGAUAGACCAUCUAUUUUUUUAAGGAUCCUAAGCAUCAUUGUUGUAUUAAUACGUGGAUACAAAAAAAUGUUGCAAUGCUUUUCAAAUAUAUAAAUGAUUAUGUGGUUGAAAGAAAUUAGAAAAAUGCAAUGCAGUUAAGUAAUGAGGAACGAUUGAUUUUUGUUAUUAAAAGACGGAAGUCACGAACCACAUUAAUUAAAGUCAUCGAUUACUGACUGAUGACAACAUAUUUGACAAACAAUAAUAGAAGUUACAUAUAUUAACGCAUAAAGUUACAAAAUACAUAUACAUAUUUGACAAACAAUAAUAGAAGCGACGAAAUACAAACAAACACCUAAAACAAUUAAUUUUCAAAUACAGUCCAGGUUCUCCGAAAGUCGUUUGCUUUGAAAUGCUCUUUUUUAACUUAGUCAUAAACAUCUUCAUCUUUAUAACAUUAAUUAUUUCUUUUAUGAACUGGUUUGCCUUUUUUUCUUCAUGAUAUUGGGUUCAAUAGUUCCAACUUUUGCCUUUUGAAUUGUGUAAAUCUAUUUCACUAUUUGUUGACCAUUUGCAAUUCUUGCUUUUCUUUCAUCAUAUCAUUUUUUGUUGUAUACAUUUCCCUUGAAUGAUGACUAACUUAUACAAAAUUGGAAUCACUUGCAUCAUUUUCGUGGAUUCUUUUAAACCCACUUCUGCCUGACUACAAGAACAUAUUUAAUCACAGAUGAUGACGAGCCCCAUUCCAACAUGUUGAAAUGUAUAGUCUUGGCACUUGAACAUAGCUCAUGCGUUUUUUUUGUCAAUAUAUCAUUAUUCUCUGAUCAUCCAUUUUGUUACAUAGACUUUGCUAUUGUCAGUGCCAACCAUUAUUCCGAUAGUUUUUUCAUGUGGUGUAGUAAUUUUUCUAAACGAAGCAAUUACUGUUCUCUAACAAUUUUGAAAACCAACCAAUGCUAACGUCCAUAUAUAUUUUCCGCAGCCUGCACAACAGGAUUAUCAGAACGUAAAUCUCCUGAAUUUCUUUAAGUUCUAGUACCUUAUAAAAUUCUACUAACAAUUUGAUAUCUUUUUAGAUGGUGUAAAUGUAAUAACAUAAGUUGGCUAGAAACUAACCUCCCAAAAAUAGAGGUAUCAUGCAAAUGCUAUAAACACGAGUGGAACAAGUCUUAUGCCUAACAAUUGAACGCUAAUUUCCCAAAAUUAAAGUAACCUAGCUAAUACUUCCUUAAAAAUGGGUCAAACAUUCUAAAAAAUGAGAAGUUGGGAGAAAGUAUGGGCCUUCAACAUAUCUCUCCAUUUAACGCACUAUAUAAAGCAGCAGGUGCGUAGUAAAAAUCUCAGAAAACAAAAAUUAAAAGACAAUAAAAAAUAAAAAUAAAUAAAUAAAUAUGGGUUCAUAUUUGGGAAUCUAUACAAUUUUGGUUCUAUGUUUGCUAAAAUAAAAAUGGGUUCAUAUAUGGGAAUAUGUACAAUUUUUGUUCUAUGUUUGCUGGGAUAUUCAGCCAAUGCUGAGGUGUUCACCGCUGGUGGUCCUCCAAAUUCUGAUAUUACCGCGGUUAGUAUCUUCACUUGUUUUUUAUUACUUGAAUUCCAAUCAAUGUGUAAACCAUUUCUUAUAUUAACAUACUCGUGGGAGCUAUUGUUGCAGGCAGUUCUUAAAGCAUUCACAUCGGCAUGCCAAGCUCCGGCACCAAGCCAGGUGCUGAUCCCAAAAGGUGACUUCAAGCUUGGUGAGACCGUGAUGACUGGUCCAUGCAAAUCUCCAAUCGAGUUCACCUUGCAAGGCAACGUGAAAGCUGACGGUGGCUCUACCCAGGGAAAGGAUAGAUGGGUUGUGUUCGAAAAAAUUAAUGGUUUUAAGUUGAACGGAGGUGGAACAUUUGACGGUGAAGGCAAUGCAGCUUGGAAAGCCAACAACUGCCACAAGACUUUUGAGUGCAAGAAACUUCCCAUCGUAGGUGUUUCCGUCUUUAAUAUAUUAACACCAAUGGCUUUUUUUAAAGAUGAUAUAAUUCAGUGAUGCAUGCUAUCUUUCAGAGUGUAAGGUUUGAUUUUGUGGAUAACGCUGAGAUAAAAGACAUAACCUCAUUAGAUGCCAAAAACUUCCACUUCAACGUUAUCAGCGGCAAGAACAUGACCUUUGAUAACAUCAAGAUCAUCGCUCCAGCUGAAAGCCCCAACACUGACGGUAUCCAUUUGGGAAGAUGUGAGGGAGUCAAGAUCCUCAACACUAAGAUCGCCACAGGAGAUGACUGCAUCUCCGUGGGAGAUGGGAUGAAGAAUCUCCUCAUUGAGAAAGUUGUGUGCGGUCCAGGACACGGAAUCAGUGUUGGAAGCCUUGGAAGGUACGGAUGGGAGCAAGAUGUCACUGACAUUAACGUUAAGAACUGUACCCUUGAGGGAACCGACAACGGUCUGAGGAUCAAGACAUGGCCAUCUGCCGCUUGCACCACCACCGCUGCCGGUAUUCAUUUUGAGGAUAUCAUCCUUAACAAAGUUAGCAACCCAAUCCUCAUCGACCAGGAGUACUGCCCUUGGAACCAAUGCAACAAGAACGUAAGUAUCUUUUAUUAGAUUCUAUGUCUUGCCACUAUCACCGUAUUCUAUGAAAUUGGAUGGCUCAGCAAACAUAUUAUUCUGAUGGUUUUCUAGAUAUUUAGCAUUCACCAUUUUGGUUGAGGUUACAUAUAUAUGAUUAUGAUCCCAAAGUUUUUUUUUCUAUUUGCAGAAACCAUCAACAAUUAAGCUGGUGGACAUUACCUUCAGGAAUAUUAGAGGAACAUCAGGGAACAAGGACGCAGUAAAACUAUUGUGCAGCAAGGGACAUCCAUGUGAGAACGUUGAGAUUGGAGACAUUAACAUUGAGUACACAGGACCUGACGGUCCACCCACUUUCGAGUGCACAAACGUCACACCUAAGCUUGUGGGAACCCAGAACCCAAAGGCUUGCGUUGGACCUGUGGUCAAGGCUCCUGGCAAAGAGUAAAAUGUUGAAGCUCAUAUCAACACACUAGGGCUUCCACAUCCAAUUUUGUUUAUUCUUUUUCUAAUCCUUUUUCAAGUCACGUAAGGGAGACUUUUACAAAGCUGUAACAAAAAAAUGUUUCUAUCCGAUGCCAACACAUAUAUAGAUGUGUGAGUGCAUAAUGAUGUAAUUAAUAAAACUAAAUUAUAUAUUCUGCGUAUGAUUGUUUCUUUUUAAAAUAUUAAUAUGCGCGGUAAGUUGUAUACACUUCAAUCUUAAUUUUGUUUUCUUUUCCGAAUCUUAAAAUUAUUUAACAAGAUCUGAUUUCAACCUUAAGAUUAAUUUAACUAAUACAGUAUUAGUUUUUUUUUUUUUAGAACUCAUUUUAAACUAGAACUCAAAUCAUUUCAAUAAUAGUUCACUAACAUGUAGUAUUCUUUCCAAGUUAUACUGAACUAGAACUCAAAGAUACACUUGUUCAUACAUAACCGAUGCAAGCAUUUGGACAACGAAACAUGACAUCGUCAUAAGUAAUCUGAUUGGAAAUGUAAUUUUCAAUCAAACUUUCGCUCUUUGCUUAUGAUCUCUUUGGAAAAAAUUUCACUUGAUAAUAUGAGGUGCAUACUCUUCCUCUCUACUUUGGUUCAAUGCUCCUUAAACAUGUUGGAUACUUUUUUAGGCUUCAAUAUAAAAAAGAAGUUAGGAAAAAUUUAUUGAUAUUGUUAGUAAUAUUACUUCUAUGAUAUUGGUACUUCAAAAGAAGCAUGAGUUAUUAUAGAAACUAGGUUAAGAUCUCUGUUUUGCGCAUGAUGAAUUUUAUGUAUACAAAUGAUAUUUUUCUAUUUUUAUUAUUUAUUUUGUGUUUAUUUAUUUCAUAUUUAUAUAAUUAAAUUAGAGUAAACACAUAAAUCAAAACUAUACCUCCUUUUAUUUCUAAUUUUUUUCAUAAAUAAAUCAAUCGUUUUAUUUAUUUUAUAUGAAAUAUAAUUAAUUUGAAUGAUAAUGACAUAGAUAUCUAGUAAAAUUUAAUAUAACUUAUUAAUUGAGAUUUCCUACUCAUAUAAUCUUAUUAACAUUUGUAUAUAUUGCUGUAAAAAAAAUUAAACCAUUAAUUACAAAACUUUCAAUGUGAGAUUUAUUUCAAUACAAAAUUUUAAAUUGAAAUAUUAAGGUCUCAAUACUUUUAAAAUGUAAAUUUCAAAAUUAACGUAUUUAUGUAUUUUUAUAUGGUAUAUAGUUUAAUUUAAACGAUAUUAAGAUAUAUAUAUAUAUAUAUAUUUAAUAUGAAUAUCUAUUAAAUGAGACUUUAUAUUCAUACAAUUUUAUGAUCAUUUUGUAUCUUGUUAUAACAAAAAAAAGUAGUUAAACCAUUGAUUACAAAAUUUCAAUAUGGGCUUUUAACAUUUUUUAGUAAUUUAUAGUUUUUUAAAAUUCAUAAUAUAACAUAUAAGAAAGAGUCUAUAUUUUAAGUAUAUGGUUAAUGUGAUUGUAUAAUUUCUUUUAAUAAUAUAAAAUUAAAUAAAAUAGAUGGAGGUUACAAAAAUUGUUAUCAAAUCUUUAUUAUUCAUAAUCAUUAGUUUUCGUAUAUAUGUUAAUCAUAUUAGGUAAUUUCGUAACUUUUAUUUAGAGAAAUAAUGAAAAUAUUCUUUUGAACAUACAUUACUAAUCAAUUUGAUAGUUAGUUUAAUAAUAAGAUAUAAUAUAUGUUUCGAUAGACCAUCUAUUUUUUUAAGGAUCCUAAGCAUCAUUGUUGUAUUAAUACGUGGAUACAAAAAAAUGUUGCAAUGCUUUUCAAAUAUAUAAAUGAUUAUGUGGUUGAAAGAAAUUAGAAAAAUGCAAUGCAGUUAAGUAAUGAGGAACGAUUGAUUUUUGUUAUUAAAAGACGGAAGUCACGAACCACAUUAAUUAAAGUCAUCGAUUACUGACUGAUGACAACAUAUUUGACAAACAAUAAUAGAAGUUACAUAUAUUAACGCAUAAAGUUACAAAAUACAUAUACAUAUUUGACAAACAAUAAUAGAAGCGACGAAAUACAAACAAACACCUAAAACAAUUAAUUUUCAAAUACAGUCCAGGUUCUCCGAAAGUCGUUUGCUUUGAAAUGCUCUUUUUUAACUUAGUCAUAAACAUCUUCAUCUUUAUAACAUUAAUUAUUUCUUUUAUGAACUGGUUUGCCUUUUUUUCUUCAUGAUAUUGGGUUCAAUAGUUCCAACUUUUGCCUUUUGAAUUGUGUAAAUCUAUUUCACUAUUUGUUGACCAUUUGCAAUUCUUGCUUUUCUUUCAUCAUAUCAUUUUUUGUUGUAUACAUUUCCCUUGAAUGAUGACUAACUUAUACAAAAUUGGAAUCACUUGCAUCAUUUUCGUGGAUUCUUUUAAACCCACUUCUGCCUGACUACAAGAACAUAUUUAAUCACAGAUGAUGACGAGCCCCAUUCCAACAUGUUGAAAUGUAUAGUCUUGGCACUUGAACAUAGCUCAUGCGUUUUUUUUGUCAAUAUAUCAUUAUUCUCUGAUCAUCCAUUUUGUUACAUAGACUUUGCUAUUGUCAGUGCCAACCAUUAUUCCGAUAGUUUUUUCAUGUGGUGUAGUAAUUUUUCUAAACGAAGCAAUUACUGUUCUCUAACAAUUUUGAAAACCAACCAAUGCUAACGUCCAUAUAUAUUUUCCGCAGCCUGCACAACAGGAUUAUCAGAACGUAAAUCUCCUGAAUUUCUUUAAGUUCUAGUACCUUAUAAAAUUCUACUAACAAUUUGAUAUCUUUUUAGAUGGUGUAAAUGUAAUAACAUAAGUUGGCUAGAAACUAACCUCCCAAAAAUAGAGGUAUCAUGCAAAUGCUAUAAACACGAGUGGAACAAGUCUUAUGCCUAACAAUUGAACGCUAAUUUCCCAAAAUUAAAGUAACCUAGCUAAUACUUCCUUAAAAAUGGGUCAAACAUUCUAAAAAAUGAGAAGUUGGGAGAAAGUAUGGGCCUUCAACAUAUCUCUCCAUUUAACGCACUAUAUAAAGCAGCAGGUGCGUAGUAAAAAUCUCAGAAAACAAAAAUUAAAAGACAAUAAAAAAUAAAAAUAAAUAAAUAAAUAUGGGUUCAUAUUUGGGAAUCUAUACAAUUUUGGUUCUAUGUUUGCUAGGAUAUUCAGCCAAUGCUGAGGUGUUCACCGCUGGUGGUCCUCCAAAUUCUGAUAUUACCGCGGUUAGUAUCUUCACUUGUUUUUUAUUACUUGAAUUCCAAUCAAUGUGUAAACCAUUUCUUAUAUUAACAUACUCGUGGGAGCUAUUGUUGCAGGCAGUUCUUAAAGCAUUCACAUCGGCAUGUCAAGCUCCGGCACCAAGCCAGGUGCUGAUCCCAAAAGGUGACUUCAAGCUUGGUGAGACCGUGAUGACUGGUCCAUGCAAAUCUCCAAUCGAGUUCACCUUGCAAGGCAACGUGAAAGCUGACGGUGGCUCUACCCAGGGAAAGGAUAGAUGGGUUGUGUUCGAAAAAAUUAAUGGUUUUAAGUUGAACGGAGGUGGAACAUUUGACGGUGAAGGCAAUGCAGCUUGGAAAGCCAAUAACUGCCACAAGACUUUUGAGUGCAAGAA